CCUACGGGUGGCAGCAGUUAGGAAUUUUGGGCAAUGGGCGAAAGCCUGACCCAGCAACGCCGCGUGGGUGAUGAAGGCCCUCGGGUCGUAAAGCCCUUUUCCCAGGGACGAUAGUGACGGUACCUGGGGAAUCAGCCCCGGCUAACUACGUGCCAGCAGCCGCGGUAAUACGUAGGGGGCAAGCGUUGUCCGGAUUUAUUGGGCGUAAAGCGCUCGCAGGUGGUCCGAUGCGUCGUGCGUGAAAGACCCCGGCUCAACUGGGGAGGGUCGUGCGAUACGGUCGGACUGGAGGCCAGUAGGGGGAUGCGGAAUUCCGGGUGUAGUGGUGGAAUGCGUAGAGAUCCGGAGGAACACCAGCGGCGAAGGCGGCAUCCUGGACUGGUCCUGACACUCAGGAGCGAAAGCGUGGGGAGCGAUCCGGAUUAGAUACCCGAGUAGUC
rnacentral:misc_RNA from 1 species